rnacentral:rRNA from 1 species
AGCGAACGCUGGCGGCAGGCUUAACACAUGCAAGUCGAACGGGCUUCUUCGGAAGUCAGUGGCAGACGGGUGAGUAACACGUGGGAACGUGCCCUUCGGUUCGGAAUAACUCAGGGAAACUUGAGCUAAUGCCGGAUACGCCCUUUUGGGGAAAGGUUUACUGCCGAAGGAUCGGCCCGCGUCUGAUUAGCUUGUUGGUGGGGUAACGGCCUACCAAGGCGACGAUCAGUAGCUGGUCUGAGAGGAUGAUCAGCCACACUGGGACUGAGACACGGCCCAGACUCCUACGGGAGGCAGCAGUGGGGAAUAUUGGACAAUGGGCGCAAGCCUGAUCCAGCCAUGCCGCGUGAGUGAUGAAGGCCUUAGGGUUGUAAAGCUCUUUGUCCGGGACGAUAAUGACGUACCGGAAGAUAGCCCC